AACGAACGCUGGCGGCAUGCCUAACACAUGCAAGUCGAACGAGAGCUCCGGGUGCAGUGGCUCAUGGGUGUGUAGCGUGUCGGAACCUUCCCUUAUGCUUCGAAUAACCCUCCGAAAGGGGUGAUAAUAUCGGAUAACGUCUUCGAACAAAGGAUUCAUCGUAUUUGGAUGGGCCCGGGAUGUACUAGCCUGUUGGUAGGGUAAAAGCCUAUCAAGGCGACGAUCCAUAGCUGGGUUGAGAGGAUGAUCAGCCACACUGGGACUGAGACACGGCCCGUACUCCUACGGGAGGCAGCAGAGGGGAAUAUUGGACAAUGGGCGAAGGCCUGAACCAGCAAUGCCGCGUAAAUGAUGAAGGCCUUAAGGUAGUAAAGCUCUUUUACCCGGGAUGAUAAUGACAGUACCGAAAGAAUAAGCUCCGGCUAACUCCGUG
rnacentral:rRNA from 1 species